UACGUAGGGUGCGAGCGUUGUCCGGAAUUACUGGGCGUAAAGAGCUCGUAGGUGGUUUGUCACGUCGUCUGUGAAAUUCCGGGGCUUAACCUCGGGCGUGCAGGCGAUACGGGCAAUACUUGAGUGCUGUAGGGGAGACUGGAAUUCCUGGUGUAGCGGUGAAAUGCGCAGAUAUCAGGAGGAACACCAAUGGCGAAGGCAGGUCUCUGGGCCGCUACUGACGCUGAGGAGCGAAAGCAUGGGUAGCGAACAGGAUUAGA
rnacentral:rRNA from 1 species